rnacentral:rRNA from 1 species
AUUGAACGCUGGCGGCAGGCCUAACACAUGCAAGUCGAACGAGUGGCGGACGGGUGAGUAAUGUCUGGGAAACUGCCUGAUGGAGGGGGAUAACUCCUGGAAACGGUAGCUAAUACCGCAUACCAUCAGAUGUGCCCAGAUGGGAUUAGCUUGUUGGUGGGGUACAGGCUCACCAAGGCGACGAUCCCGAGCUGGUCUGAUAGGAGGACCAGCAACACUGGAACUGAGACACGGCCCAGACGCCUACGGGAGGCAGCAGUGGGGAAUAUUGCACAAUGGGGGCAAGCCUGAUGCAGCCAUGCCGCGUGUAAGAAGAAGGCCUUCGGGUUGUAAAGUACUUUCAGCGGGGAGGCGUUACCCGCAGAAGAAGCACCGGCUAACUCCGUGCCAGCAGCCGCGGUAAUUC